rnacentral:lncRNA from 10 species
UGCUCUCCUGCACUUCCGCCCAGUCACAUGGAUGAUGGAUAGCGUUGGGAGCUGUUUUCUCUAUCUUCCAGGCUGGAAUUCAGUGGCGUGAUCUCAGCUCACUGCAACCUCUGCCUAUCCGGCUGAGGCAGGAGAAUGGCGUGAACCCGGGAAGCGGAGCUUGCAGUGAGCCGAGAUUGCGCCACUGCAGUCCGCAGUCCGGCCUGGGCGACAGAGCGAGACUCCGUCUCAAAAAAAAAAAAAAAAAAAAUUAUAUGUUUCUGUCGGGCUGACUCAUUCCACUUUUGAAGCACCCAGUGGAUUAAUUAGUCUUAUUAUUGCAUUUACUGUCACCUACACAUUUGUUUGUGGGAAGGCACUCCUCUUGGCAUUUGCUUAGUUGGAAAAAGGAACACUAAGACUAUAGCCACUGGAUAAUGUUCUUGAAGUUCACGGCACUGUGGCAGCAUAAAGCU